rnacentral:snoRNA from 1 species
GCGAUAUGAUGUCAGAAUUUCUUCACCCGAAUUUAAUGUGGAACAUUUUUCUUGAGCUUUUUAACCCUGAUCGCA